rnacentral:tRNA from 1 species
GGGCGGAUAGCUCAGCGGGAGAGCAUCGGCCUUACAAGCCGGGGGUCGCAGGUUCAAAACCUGUUCCGCCUACCA